rnacentral:rRNA from 1 species
AACGAACGCUGGCGGCAUGCCUAACACAUGCAAGUCGAACGAAGCCUUCGGGCUUAGUGGCGCACGGGUGCGUAACACGUGGGAAUCUGCCCUUCGGUUCGGGAAUAACCAGUUAGAAAUGACUGCUAAUACCGGAUGAUGACGAAAGUCCAAAGAUUUAUCGCCGAAGGAUGAGCCCGCGUAGGAUUAGGUAGUUGGUAGGGUAAUGGCCUACCAAGCCGACGAUCCUUAGCUGGUCUGAGAGGAUGAUCAGCCACACUGGGACUGAGACACGGCCCAGACUCCUACGGGAGGCAGCAGUGGGGAAUAUUGGACAAUGGGCGAAAGCCUGAUCCAGCAAUGCCGCGUGAGUGAUGAAGGCCUUAGGGUUGUAAAGCUCUUUUACCAGGGAUGAUAAUGACAGUACCUGGAGAAUAAGCUCCGGCUAACUCCGUAGCCAGCA